rnacentral:lncRNA from 1 species
UGAGGACUAUUAUGAAAUUAUGACAAUAUCUUAGGCCCUAAAAAACGGAGGGAUUUUUGGAUAAUUGUCAAUAUUGCUUAAAAGCCAUAAAAAUGGCACAUCCCCCUUUCUCCCAUGAAAAUAGAGCUAGGAAUUAUAGAGAGCAUAUCAAGAUUAUCUCAUCUUGGUUGGGAAAUGAGCCCUUUUUUUGGGCAACAUGAGGGCUUUUAGGAAAUUAUG